CAAAAUCUUGUGUACAAGCAUCCUAAAAACUAAAAAAUUCCAAAUUCACUUUAAAUUUCAAAUUUCAAACAAACAUAACAUCUAAAACACUUUACCAUAAAAUUUACACACAUUACCAAAAUUAAUCAUAACAAAACAGAUUGAGAAAAAAAAAGCAUCUUUUUGAUAAAUUUCAUUAAAAAAUAAGUAAAGCUGUCAAUAAAACAGAAUUUAGAAGAAGUAAAUUAAAUUAUUUAACAGGAAACAAAACUAAAACACUAAAAUGAUGUCAGAGCACAGGUUAAAAGGUAUCAUUAAAAAAAUCGUCAAGGCUAUAAUAUGCCCUGGAUAAUAAAAGUGAUUUUAAUUCCUUUUUGAAUCUCUUAACUUCUAAAAUUUGUCUGAUACAUAGAGGAACAUGGUUGUAAAUUUUUUUGCUAAGGUAUAUAAGUGAGUUCUUGGUGAGGGAGGAUGUAGGGAUUGGUAAGGGAAAAUCGUUAACCUGGCGAGUCAUAUGACCAGUGUUAGAGGGAGGUUUAGGACAUUUAUGAAUAAGAGUAGGUGUUUCUAAGAUAAAAAGAGAAAAAAGAGUUAGGAUUUUUUGAGAUAUAAAGAGGGGUUUACAAGAAUCUCUUAACCCAGCGGAACAUAGGUAUCUAACUGCCUUUUUUUGAAUCACAAAAAUUAUGUUUAAUAAUCCCUUGUUGCUUAAACCCCAAAAAGGCAAGCCAUAAUGAAGGUGGGACUCAAUAAGAGAAAAGUACACUGAACGUGCAACUACCCCUCCCAGCUCAUGCCCCGCCAUUCUUACUGCAAAGCAUCCAGAGGAUAAUUUUGAUGCAAGAUUUAGGAUAUGAUCUUCGAAGCGAAGGCGACCAUCAAUGGUAAUACCAAGGAACUUACAGCUUUCUUUGUUUUGCAAGGGGGAGUUUUCACUAAACAUAAGGCCUUGAAGAUGGACCUAAGAUGGGCCUAACAAGAGAGCAAUAAAGUAAUCUAAAAGUAAACAAAGACAAAUCAGUUGUAGACCGUUGGAUAAAACCCAGCAUUUUCAUUGCCCUACCAGUCACCUGAUUGAUGUGACUUUUAAAAGACAACCUGGAGUCAAUAAAUAUUCCUAAUUCAGAAACCUCUGUUUUGACACCAAUUGCUACAUUAUUUAUUUUAUAAAGAAAAGCAAUAGGGUUUCUUUGCUUAGAAAAAGUAAUCUUAUGGCACUUAUUGAUAUUAAGGGACAUUCUAUUCAAGUGGCACCAAUCAAAGAAUAAAUUGAGGUCUUUUUGCAGGAGCACAGCAUCAGAAAGGGAUGUGACAAGCCUAAAUAGCUUCACAUCAUCAACAUUAGCAAACAUUAGCACACGACAAUUUUUAAGUUUCCAAACUAAAUCAAUCAAAAAGAGGCAAAACAAAACAGGGCCUGAGUGAGAGCCCUGUGGCACCCCAGAUGGUACCAAAAUUUCAGAGGAACAUGUACCUCCAAGAUUAACAAUCUGGGUUCUACCUCUGAUGAAUCCCGAGAUCCACUGAAGAAGAGGCCCCACAAUACCUAAUUUCGUGGGAAGUGCCCUUUUAGACAGUAUAUAAAGUCAAAACCUGGUCGAUAUGGCAUCAAAAUAUGGACAGCUGCUGACGUACAAACUUCUUAUCUUUGCAAUCUUCAGGUCUACACCGGAAAGCUUCUUGGAAAUUUACCAGAAAAAAACCAAGGAUACAGGGUAGUAUCUGACCUGGUACAACCAUAUCAUGGUACUAGGAGAGGGAUAACUACUGACAAUUUCUUCACAAACAUCUCUUUAGCUAACUAUUUAUUAUCCAAAAAUCUAACUUUAUUGGGAACUGUUUGUAAAAAUAAGCCCAAUACACUUCUAGGCCAAUUCACUCGUCUGUUGGCGUUUAAAAAGGAUCUGACAAUGGUUUCUUAUAUUCCGAAACAGGGAAGAAUGGUUCAUGUUCUAUCCAGCCAACAUGAUAAAGACAAGGUCUCUGAAGAGGAUGACAACAAACCAAUCAUGAUAUUGGAUUAUAACCAAACUAAAGGAGGGGUUGAUAAUGCUGAUAAGCUGGUAAGGGGAUUUUCAUGUCUUUGAUGUUUGCUUUGCGUUUAAGGUUCUGAAUGGUAUUGUUAGAAGUCCGGAAUGUCUGUGCCUUUUCUCUUUGCAUGUAUCUUCUUACACAACACGAGGUCAGGCGCUUCACCACAUUCCCUUUUGCAGAACAUCCUAUCUACUAAACAGUCCUAUAAAUAGAAUAUCUUCUACAGUGAAUAGAUUUGCAAAAGAUCUUGAUUUUUUCAGUACAUCUUUAAAUAAAUUUAAGUCGUCAGCUAGGGCAACUAUCUUGGGACAGUGCCCUACUCCCACUCUUUGGAUUAGGUUUAGCACAGUAUUGUUUAUUAGUAUUAUAGUUUUUACUUAAGACUACUGUUAAUUAUUAAUAAGUACUUGAAAUGUUAUAUAUGUUGAUAAAUAAAUAAAUAAA